UCCUGCUGUGUCACAAGGCUGGGCGGGUCAGUUUCGACGCUGUCAUAUCCCCUGGGGGACCGGGAGCCAAUAGUGUUGCUCGACAACCCGGAAGAAACAGCAGCCCGAAAAGAGCGCCUGGAUUUCAAUUUUGAACAGAUAAGAAGACGUUGACAGUUGUCCUGAUCUGGAGUCCGCCCCAGAAGGACCAUGAGUUUCUCCCCCACCCCCGUGGACCCGACCGGCAGCCGUAGUGUCCAGGAGCAGAGAGAGAAGUGGGAGAGAAAGAGAACCCGUACAGCCAGGGCCCUGGUCCAAACUGAACAGAAAUACUGUAAACAACUACAACUAGUCAACACGUACUUUGUGGAGAUUCUGAAGGCCAAAGGCACCCUGAGGCAGGACAUUAGAGAAAGCAUCUUUAGUUCCAUUCCAUCCAUCCGUUCAGUA